ACGCUAGCUACAGGCUUAACACAUGCAAGUCGAGGGGAAACGACAUCGAAAGCUUGCUUUUGAUGGGCGUCGACCGGCGCACGGGUGAGUAACGCGUAUCCAACCUGCCCACCACUUGGGGAUAACCUUGCGAAAGUAAGACUAAUACCCAAUGACGUCUCUAGAAGACAUCUGAAAGAGAUUAAAGAUUUAUCGGUGAUGGAUGGGGAUGCGUCUGAUUAGCUUGUUGGCGGGGUAACGGCCCACCAAGGCGACGAUCAGUAGGGGUUCUGAGAGGAAGGUCCCCCACAUUGGAACUGAGACACGGUCCAAACUCCUACGGGAGGCAGCAGUGAGGAAUAUUGGUCAAUGGACGAGAGUCUGAACCAGCCAAGUAGCGUGCAGGAUGACGGCCCUAUGGGUUGUAAACUGCUUUUAUAAGGGAAUAAAGUGAGUCUCGUGAGACUUUUUGCAUGUACCUUAUGAAUAAGGACCGGCUAAUUCCGUGCCAGCAGCCGCGGUAAUACGGAAGGUCCGGGCGUUAUCCGGAUUUAUUGGGUUUAAAGGGAGCGUAGGCCGGAGAUUAAGCGUGUUGUGAAAUGUAGACGCUCAACGUCUGCACUGCAGCGCGAACUGGUUUCCUUGAGUACGCACAAAGUGGGCGGAAUUCGUGGUGUAGCGGUGAAAUGCUUAGAUAUCACGAAGAACUCCGAUUGCGAAGGCAGCUCACUGGAGCGCAACUGACGCUGAAGCUCGAAAGUGCGGGUAUCGAACAGGAUUAGAUACCCUGGUAGUCCGCACGGUAAACGAUGGAUGCCCGCUGUUGGUCUGAAUAGGUCAGCGGCCAAGCGAAAGCAUUAAGCAUCCCACCUGGGGAGUACGCCGGCAACAGUGAAACU
rnacentral:rRNA from 1 species